AUCUCAGUUCUUGCACACGGUACUAGAUUGCUGAACUGUUACACGCGAUGUUCGCAAAUCACUGUUCCAACUUCCUUUUCGGUUAUACUGACUUUCUGUGCUCUUCUAACUGCUCUUCGCGGGACCGCCCGCUGCGGUAUGAGUUUGUGGAACCCAAAUGCAUCAACAACGGUUGCACCUGAAUGACGAGAUUCCAACUUGUGACAUCAACCAUGCUAUAACUUCUCCUUAUGUUGGUUUGAGUGGCGAUUAGUCAUAUUUGACUUGUCGCCAUUACGACUCAUAACAACUCAGCCUUUGAUGGUGUCUAUAACCGUUCCAAGCCAAAAUGGAAAAUUAUAACAAUACAUAGUGGGGUAAUGAAAAAGCAAUAGUAACAUGGAAAUAAAAGGAAAUUCAAGAGAAAGUGCAUCGCUUUUAUACAUUAUAGGAAUAAAGACUGGGGACUCUAUUUUGUUUACCCUAGGGUAAACAAAAUACUGAGUUAUUAUAGUGAGUUAUUUUUCAUUUUUUUUUAACAUUUAUUUAGUUUGCUUGAUAAUUUCAUUAUGAGGUUUUAAUUUUCUUUUUCAAAUUACUACCAUUUAUAGUCAUUAUUUAUUCUUAUUAUAAGAAUAUUAUUUAAUUCAUAUCUGUAUCAUAUACUCACACACACACCCUUAUUUUUUAGAGCUAUGCUCCUUUUAAAAUCUGCGAUCUUAUUUCCACGGCAUUUACUAAACCUUUUGUGAUUACUUUAUUCCAU